AAGAAACAGAGAGCAAAACAAAACAGAGAAGGGAGAAAGAAAGAAACAGAGAGCAAAACGAAACAGAGAAGGGAGAAAGAAAGAAAGAAAGAAAAAGAAAAAGAGAAAUUUGGGGUUUUAAGGUUCAGAGUUAAUUUGCUAAUGUCGUGCACGAGUCAUUGUCCGAGAAAGGAAAGGAGAAAGUGGACAAGGAGUGACUCGAGAGAAAUUCCGGUUAGUAAAAAAAACCAGUGUUCGAUCCAGCAUCCAAAGUAAUCCCGACCUCAGAGACAUUUUAGUGAUGUACCUUUCUGUUGAUAAUGUGGCAUGUACCUAGGUAAUGUAUAUACCUAAGUGAUGUAUAGGGAUUAGUCAUUUUGAAUGUUGUAUCUAUGAGAUUGCUAAAGAAAGAUGUGUGAGUAUGUGAUAA